ACCACAAAAUCACAACAAGCUGAGGUCGGACGCUUCACUGAGCCACCCAGGUGCCCCAUCAACAGUUUGUUUUAAAGCAAUGAUUAAAUGACUUGUUUUGAUUGAAAUGAUAAAUCGAGUUGCUUUUGCAUAAUCCUAGUUGUGAAUAAAAAAUGUUCAAAAGCAA